rnacentral:rRNA from 1 species
CACUCCUGCGGGAGGCAGCAGUGGGGAAUUUUGGACAAUGGGCGAAAGCCUGAUCCAGCAAUGCCGCGUGUGUGAAGAAGGCCUUCGGGUUGUAAAGCACUUUUGUCCGGAAAGAAAUCCUUGGCUCUAAUACAGUCGGGGGAUGACGGUACCGGAAGAAUAAGCACCGGCUAACUACGUGCCAGCAGCCGCGGUAAUACGUAGGGUGCGAGCGUUAAUCGGAAUUACUGGGCGUAAAGCGUGCGCAGGCGGUUUGCUAAGACCGAUGUGAAAUCCCCGGGCUCAACCUGGGAACGGCAUUGGUGACUGGCAGGCUAGAGUAUGGCAGAGGGGGGUAGAAUUCCACGUGUAGCAGUGAAAUGCGUAGAGAUGUGGAGGAAUACCGAUGGCGAAGGCAGCCCCCUGGGCCAAUACUGACGCUCAUGCACGAAGGCGGGGGGAGCAAACAGGAUUAGAAACCCGUGUAGUCCC